rnacentral:rRNA from 1 species
CCUACGGGAGGCAGCAGUGAGGAAUAUUGGUCAAUGGGCGCGAGCCUGAACCAGCCAAGUCGCGUGAGGGAAGACGGCCCUACGGGUUGUAAACCUCUUUUGCCGGGGAGCAACGGGCGCCACGUGUGGCGCCACUGAGAGUACCCGGAGAAAAAGCAUCGGCUAACUCCGUGCCAGCAGCCGCGGUAAUACGGAGGAUGCGAGCGUUAUCCGGAUUUAUGGGGUUAAAGGGGUGCGUAGUCGGAGCGUUAAGUCAGUGGUAAAAGUGAGGGGCUCAACCCCUUCCCGCCAUUGAAACUGGCGCUCUUGAGUGGAAGAGAAGUAUGCGGAAUGCGUGGUGUAGCGGUGAAAUGCGUAGAUAUCAGGAGGAACACCGGUGGCGAAGGCGGCCUGCUGGACUGCAACUGACGUUGAGGCCCGAAAGCGUGGGGAGCAAACAGGAUUAGAUACCCCAGUAGUC